rnacentral:rRNA from 1 species
GACGAACGCUGGCGGCGUGCUUAACACAUGCAAGUCGAACGGAAAGGCCCUGCUUUUGUGGGGUGCUCGAGUGGCGAACGGGUGAGUAACACGUGAGUAACCUGCCCUUGACUUUGGGAUAACUUCAGGAAACUGGGGCUAAUACCGGAUAGGAGCUCCUGCUGCAUGGUGGGGGUUGGAAAGUUUCGGCGGUUGGGGAUGGACUCGCGGCUUAUCAGCUUGUUGGUGGGGUAGUGGCUUACCAAGGCUUUGACGGGUAGCCGGCCUGAGAGGGUGACCGGCCACAUUGGGACUGAGAUACGGCCCAGACUCCUACGGGAGGCAGCAGUGGGGAAUAUUGCACAAUGGGCGGAAGCCUGAUGCAGCAACGCCGCGUGCGGGAUGACGGCCUUCGGGUUGUAAACCGCUUUCGCCUGUGACGAAGCGUGAGUGACGGUAAUGGGUAAAGAAGCACCGGCUAACUACGUGCCAGCAGCCGCGGUGAUACGUAGGGUGCGAGCGUUGUCCGGAUUUAUUGGGCGUAAAGGGCUCGUAGGUGGUUGAUCGCGUCGGAAGUGUAAUCUUGGGGCUUAACCCUGAGCGUGCUUUCGAUACGGGUUGACUUGAGGAAGGUAGGGGAGAAUGGAAUUCCUGGUGGAGCGGUGGAAUGCGCAGAUAUCAGGAGGAACACCAGUGGCGAAGGCGGUUCUCUGGGCCUUUCCUGACGCUGAGGAGCGAAAGCGUGGGGAGCGAACAGGCUUAGAUACCCUGGUAGUCCACGCUGUAAACGGUGGGUACUAGGUGUGGGGUUCAUUCCACGGGUUCCGUGCCGUAGCUAACGCUUUAAGUACCCCGCCUGGGGAGUACGGCCGCAAGGCUAAAACUCAAAGGAAUUGACGGGGCCCCGCACAAGCGGCGGAGCAUGCGGAUUAAUUCGAUGCAACGCGUAGAACCUUACCUGGGUUUGACAUGGAUCGGGAGUGCUCAGAGAUGGGUGUGCCUCUUUUGGGGUCGGUUCACAGGUGGUGCAUGGCUGUCGUCAGCUCGUGUCGUGAGAUGUUGGGUUAAGUCCCGCAACGAGCGCAACCCUUGUUCACUGUUGCCAGCACGUUAUGGUGGGGACUCAGUGGAGACCGCCGGGGUCAACUCGGAGGAAGGUGGGGAUGACGUCAAGUCAUCAUGCCCCUUAUGUCCAGGGCUUCACGCAUGCUACAAUGGCUGGUACAGAGAGUGGCGAGCCUGUGAGGGUGAGCGAAUCUCGGAAAGCCGGUCUCAGUUCGGAUUGGGGUCUGCAACUCGACCUCAUGAAGUCGGAGUCGCUAGUAAUCGCAGAUCAGCAACGCUGCGGUGAAUACGUUCCCGGG